rnacentral:lncRNA from 1 species
UAAAUUACAAGCCUUUGAAUGCUGUCCUAAAAUGGAUCCGGCAUCCAAUCCCUAACAAAAGGGAUCUUCUUAAGAGAACCUACAAAGCCAAUCUUUACAGCAAAUUUGAUAUGAAGUCAGGUUUCUGGCAAAUUCAAAUUGCUGAAAAAGAUAAAUAUAAGACUGCCUUCAAUGUCCCUUUUGGGCACUACGAAUGGAAUGUCUUACCUUUUGGACUGAAGAAUGCUCCUUCUGAAUUUCAGAAUAUUAUGAAUAACAUUUUUAAUGAUUAUUCCUAUAUGACAAUUGUUUACAUUGAUGAUGUUUUAAUCUUUUCUGAAAACAUUGAUUCUCAUUUUAAACAUCUCAACACUUUCUUUAAGAUUGUAAAAUUAAACGGCUUGGUGGUAAGCGCUAGAAAAAUGAAGCUUUUUCAAACUUUUAUCCGCUUUUUGGGUCAUGAUUUGCAUCAAGGAACUCAAAAACCCAUUUGUAGAGCAAUAGAGUUCUCUACCAAAUUCCCAGAUGAAAUUACUGAUAAAACUCAACUCCAAAGGUUCUUAGGAAGCCUCAACUACGUUGCUGAUUUUAUCCCCAAUAUUCGGCAGGUCUGUGAACCUCUCUAUAAGCGUCUUAAGAAAAAUCCAGUUCCUUGGAGUCCUGCUCAAACCAAUGCCAUCAUAAAGAUUAAAUCUUUAGUUAAGAAUCUCCCCUGUCUAGGUAUCCCCAAUCCAGAUGCCUUCAUGAUUAUAGAAACUGAUGCUUCAGAUAUAGGAUAUGGAGGUAUCCUGAAGCAAAAGGUAGAUUAUAAAUCCUCUGAACAAUUAGUUCGGUUCACCUCGGGAGUAUGGAAUACUGCCCAGAAAAAUUAUAGUACUGUUAAAAAAGAAAUUCUUUCUAUAGUGCUAUGUAUCACUAAGUUUCAAGAUGACCUUAUUAAUAAGGAAUUUCUUCUUAGAGUCGAUUGUAAAUCUGCUAAAGAGAUUUUACAAAAAGACGUUAAAAAUCUUGUUUCUAAACAAAUAUUUGCUAGAUGGAAAGCUCUCCUAUCUAGCUUUGAUUUUCAAAUUGAAUUUAUUAAAGGAGAAAAUAACUCCCUUCCCGAUUUUCUAACAAGAGAAUUUUUACAGGGCCAUGAGACCAACAAUGCCGGGCAAUAGCCCCAAAACCGAACUACAAAAAAUGGCUAGACCAUUUGAUUCUCCAGCUUCAGCAAACCCACUAAGGCCUACUGUUCCACAAAGGCCUAUCAAAACAGAAACUCAAAACAAAUAUUCUGCACUGACAGAAACUCAAUUUCCUAAACUCCCUCCACCAAUCCCAACAAAAUUGGUAGACUUAAAAACAAAUCUACCCCUGGAUAAAGGGUCUUCAGCCAGCUCCUCUUCUGUUCAAACUAAACAGAGUUACGCCAUGAAGGCCCUGGAGACCUUCGCUCAAGCAGUUGAUCCUACAGCGGCAAAAACUAUUUCAUCUUCUCCUGCUAAAGAAGAAUUCAAAUUCAUUACCACUCAGGUAAUGCCUAUCAUCGCUUUGGACAAAGCCUACGAAGGCUAUCCAAUUAACCAGCUCAUCAAGCCGGUCUACACCAACAAUAAUUUCGUGGACACUGAAGAUCCACUCAAAACUCGGAGGUUCUAUGAAGCCAUUCUGGUUGACACAGACUCUAUAGAAGUAGAGCAUUCAAUGGAUAAUAAUAAUCCAGGAUACAUCAGCUACUCCAAGUUCACCAUAAAGAGGGUAUUAAACCCCUUCAAUUGGUUUGUCGAUCACUUACAUACUCCAAUUGCCUUAUCAAUGCCACACAGGCCUCAGACCUUCAAUUGGUAUGAUUAUAAGGCAGCAUGGUUCAACUUCCUAUUUGUUCGACCAGGACAUACAUGGUUCGUCAAAUACUGCCCCGCCAUGAUAGAAGCCAUUAUACCCCGAUGGUUCUACGAAUGGUGGAUUUGCUUCGGGGGAACCAAAGGAUUUCUUCCCUUACAAUUUCACAACAGACUUCCCGACUUUCUGGUUAAAGAAGGAUGUUCUACCCUACCAGAGCACAUUCAAAUGUGCAAAUUCUUCAUCAAGAAGCGAAUAUCGUACAUUAUAUCCUGGAACUUUUCUAAAGAAGAGCAACACAGGAUUAAAUAUUUGUCUAAGGAGAUCAAAAUUAAGGGUUGGACCCCCAAGCCAACUGCUCCUAGAACUCCUGACAAAGGUAUAUCUGCGGCAGCAGCCUCUCCUCGGCUUUCUUCAAAGAGGGCUCUCAAAGAAAAACUACAGCAAGCACUGGCCAAAUUAGAUGGACCAGACACUACCGAUAACACUGAAGAGUUAUUACAGCUCAUUGCAGAAGCUUCGUCUACAGGAAGCAGCGAUGACAAUGGCGAUAUGCUAGAUCCCAAAGGGAUUGCUAUGGCCUACCUUGAUCCCUAUUAUGAAUAGGAAAACGACCCUUCGAAGAGAUAGAGGUUCAAAGAACCGGAAUUAUCUCUCCAAAGGGCAACCUACUAUUCCUGAUAGGAAUCAGGAUUGUCACAGCUGUCUAAAGGCAGCAGAAAAUUAUUGAAUUGCUUUUCAAAAAGCAAACAGUAAACUGCUUUUCAAAAGCAAAAGCAAAUAGUAAGAUGCUUUUCAAAAAGCAAGCACUCAAUUUUGUCGGUGCAUCUUAGCCGUCCAUCUGUAUGAUAAGAUCUAUCCCCAUUUACACUUGAUGGAAUUCUCUGCCUAUAUAAGGCUUACUUCUCUCUUAGAGAAGGCAUUCAAAAAUUUCCCCAUAUAAGAAAUUCUCUUGCCCAAUCUCUCUUGUAAACGUUUUUAUAAUGUUUUGCUAAAUAAAACUUGUAAGUUUUCCUCUACUUCUCUUAAAUAUUAUCUCUGCUUCUGCUUUUAACUUAAUAAUAUCUACGAUCCUUUUUCUGGUAUCAAAUGACCGUAAGAAGCACAAAAGAAUGCCCCCGAGGCAUCACAAAAGGUCUUAUCCAAAAAAGAAGACUUCCUAUAAGGAGUCAAAUUCCUAUAAGGAGUCAAAUAAACCUCGCCGAAAAACUAGGCGCAAAUCUUUCACAACGUCCAAAGAUACUUGCUGGACUUGUGGCAAAACCGGCCAUAGGGCAAAAGAUUGCACAUCCGGCAAAAGGAAAAAGAUCAAUUUACUUGAUCUAACGGAUGAAACCAAAGAGAAACUUUUCUCCAUCAUGGACGAUCCCUCUGAAGCAUCUGACUACUAUUCCUCUUCCGAAGAAGAAUACAGCGACGAAGAUUUCAUCAACGCCGCUUACGAGUCUGAUAGCUCCCAAUCCGGGCAAGACUGUGAGUGCAAUGGCACUUUCUGUAUCUGCUCUCGGAAAAUAAUCAAUGUCAUUACAGACAAACCAAAAGAAAUCUUGUUUGACAUAAUCGAACAUAUUGAUAACGAAGAACUUAGGAACAAGUAUCUUCAGGAGCUCAAACGUCUUGUGCUUUCUCACGAUGAAAGCACCUCUAAACCAAAACCUAUCAUUCAGCCAUUCUCUAUGAAACAGGUUAUGGCUAAAUUUAAUACCCAUUCUGAACCUUCUAUAGCAGAACUUAAGGGAGAAAUCUCCACUUUAAAAGGAGAAAUCAAGAACCUUAAGGUCCGACUUGAUCAGGUGGAACUGCAUGUUCUAACUGAACACGUCUUACAAUCAGCCUCGCCAAAGGCUCUUCUUCCUACAUCUCCGCCUCCUCGUAUCAGCAUCCCGACUGAUCAUCUCAAUGAACCCAUUUCCUUUCCCGGAGAGGAAGUUUCUGCUAUUCCUUCCACUUCUACAACUGUAGCAGCGAUUAAGGCCUACAGUGAACACAUAGUGGUAAACAUUGUUAUUGACAAAGACUUUGUACUAAACAAAGUCGCUCUUUUCGACACUGGUGCUGACAGUAACUGUAUUGUCAAAGGCCUCAUACCCACUCGGUAUCUCCAGAAGAGUACCUCAAAACUAUAUUCUGCCACAGGCGAAAAAAUGCGAAUUAAUUAUCAACUUCGCAAAGCCCAUGUCUGUAAUAAUGGCAUCUGCCUUAUUAAUGACUUUGUCAUCACCGAAGAUAUCACGGAAGAUAUCAUUCUGGGAAUCCCCUUUAUAAACCAGAUCCGACCAUACCAAAGUAACUACGAUGGUAUUCGUACAACUUUGUUGGAUACUGAACUAUUUUUCCCCUUACUUCGUCCGCUCUCUUCUAACGAACAGCAGCGAAUCAAAGACGAAACUGUUUUUAAACUUAAUCGUCUUUCUUCUCAUCUUCACUUUUUACAACGUGAUGUUCAGCUCAAACGUAUUGAGCACACUUUAAAAACCCCGGAGUUGAUUAGCAAGAUAUCUAUUCUCCAAAAGAAGUUCGAAGAUGAAAUUUGCUCUGAAUUGCCAAAUGCUUUUUGGGAACGCAAAAGACAUCUCGUAGAACUUCCCUACAUUCCUGGCUUCGAUGAACAAAACAUCCCUACCAAAGCCAGACCUAUUCAAAUGAAUCACGAGAUGAUGGAAAUCUGUAAAACAGAAAUCAACCAUCUUCUCGACAAAGGAAUCAUUCGACCCUCUAACUCCCCCUGGAGUUGUUCAGCAUUUUAUGUAAACAAUAGUGCUGAAAAAGAAUGAGGGACUCCUCGACUUGUGAUAAAUUACAAGCCUUUGAAUGCUGUCCUAAAAUGGAUUAGGCAUCCAAUCCCUAAUAAAAGGGAUCUCCUUAAAAGAACCUACAAAGCCAAUCUUUACAGCAAAUUCGAUAUGAAGUCAGGUUUCUGGCAGAUUCAAAUUGCUGAAAAAGAUAAAUACAAGACAGCCUUCAAUGUCCCUUUCGGGCAUUACGAAUGGAAUGUCUUACAUUUUGGACUGAAAAAUGCUCC